rnacentral:sRNA from 1 species
CCUCCUAUCGCGCCGAGCUCCAUCCAGUAGGCGGGGCCCACUAACCAACGUGGAUGGAGACGGGGGACCCACCGGUCCACCGUGAUCGGAUUGGGGCCGCAUGCGGCCCCUAGGGGUGAAGCCGAUGCCGCUCCCCAGCGGAUGCGACAACGGCCGGGUGGCCUCUCCAACCCGAACCCGACAGCUGACCUCGCAGGCGCGUGACGAGAGAGGAU